rnacentral:rRNA from 1 species
UCGAACGCGAGAGGGGCUUCGGCUCCGAUUGAGUGGCGAACGGGUGAGUAACACGUGGGUGACCUACCUUCGAGUGGGGGAUAACGUCCCGAAAGGGACGCUAAUACCGCAUAACAUCCCGCCUUUGAACAGGCGGAGAUCAAAGCCGGGGAUCGCAAGACCUGGCGCUUGAUGAGGGGCCCGCGUCUGAUUAGCUAGUUGGUGAGGUAACGGCCCACCAAGGCGACGAUCAGUAUCCGGCCUGAGAGGGCGGACGGACACACUGGGACUGAGACACGGCCCAGACUCCUACGGGAGGCAGCAGUGGGGAAUUGUUCACAAUGGGCGCAAGCCUGAUGACGCAACGCCGCGUGGAGGAUGAAGGUCUUCGGAUUGUAAACUCCUGUUGCUCGGGACGAAAAGCCUCGACCUAAUACGUCGAGGUCUGACGGUACCGAGUGAGGAAGCCCCGGCUAACUCUGUGCCAGCAGCCGCGGUAAUACAGAGGGGGCAAGCGUUGUUCGGAAUUACUGGGCGUAAAGGGCGCGUAGGCGGCCUGCUAAGUCGAACGUGAAAUCCCCGAGCUCAACUCGGGAACUGCGUCCGAUACUGACAGGCUUGAAUCCGGGAGAGGGAUGCGGAAUUCCAGGUGUAGCGGUGAAAUGCGUAGAUAUCUGGAGGAACACCGGUGGCGAAGGCGGCAUCCUGGACCGGCAUUGACGCUGAGGCGCGAAAGCUAGGGGAGCAAACGGGAUUAGAUACCCCGGUAGUCCUAGCCCUAAA